CAAUAGGCAGCCUACUUAAUCGUUACAAUACAUAGUAAGCCUGACCAAAAAAGUCAGUGGACGGCUGCCUCGCCCCAACAGAUUUUAUUUCUCCCGUAAAAUACGAGGAAGGUGAAACCUACAAAUUAAAUCAUGAUUUACGGCAUGCUGGUGACACUCUCGACGGCAAUCUAUACUACGGUGACCACCCUUUGGCAGGUUCAACAGACCCUAAUCAAUUGGAUGAUGUCGUUUAGUCUUUUCAUUUUGGGUCUGUUCUGCAAGCCGUAUUUGAUAGUUCCCCUGUUGGCAGCUGGGUUCUUUAUGGUGCGCCGGAUCUUGCUGCGGCGGGCAAAGCGGACCCAAGCCUGGAAAUCGCCGGGUAACAACGAGUCUGGGUCGUCCAGGCAUUACUCCAUUAAAACCCCACCAUCACGCGACACGGAGAGCUCCCUGCCCAAUAGCGUCGGUGACACAUCCCAGAAGUAGUCGAGCAACGGAUAAUCACACGAUUCACACGGGUUUAUAAAACAUAUAACAUACGUCUGAAAUACUACAUACACAUUCCAUGAGAACACUCAUACAUGUGCACGGGUGUGGAUGGAUCCUAAGACUAAAGCAAUUAAAAAAUACUGCACUG